GUUUUGAUUGUCAAUGACUUUACAAGGAUACAUUGACGUCUCCUGCAUCGUGAGAAAUAAGCCAUAGGAUACAUUCAUACCACUCAAAUUCAGCCAGUCAGAAUGAUGGGAAGGAUUGCAGAACUGAGUUUCACUCUCACCUGACUGAUGCAGAUUCACUAACCUAAUUGCUCAUGAUGGUUUCUGAGAAAAAAAAACAGCUUGGUGUAAUUUGACAGUAUUUUUCAGUAUUUGACAGUGGUUCUAUCAUGCAACAGUCAUACCAUGAAGUGUCUCACAGAUUCUCUCUCAAUUCCUGCAAUAUCCAAGAUUACAGUGUAGUGCAAAGAGGAUUAAUUUUCUUGCAAUAAGAAGUAUAUGCACUUCCAAAUACCCUUGUACAGCAUGAACAGUUCCUUCAUUUUUUGAGUGAUUAUAGAGUGAAAAUGUUUCCAUAUAAAAUGUUGUCUUUUUAUGUGUAAAACUUGUUAUGAA